rnacentral:lncRNA from 1 species
AACCUUUAAAUAUUUAUUUAUUUAUAAGCAUUUACAUGCAUAUGCUAGUGAUUGAUUUAUAUGCAUACGCUAUCCAAAUUGAGCUAAGAACCCUAAAUUCUUAUUUGUUUGGCCUGACAACUCUAGACCCACACCAUGCUUCAUCUGUGGGACAUCUCCAACAAAUGACACCAACUGUGGUGUCCAAGGAUGGAGUAAAGACUGUGGGAUAAACUUGGAUCUUCUGGAACUAAGCUGAGACAGUCAGGGCAGACUACUGGUCGACCAGAGCUGUAGUCAAGCCAGCUCCAGGCAGGAGACUUCACAAAUAACCCCAGGGCCUUUGAACUCCUAGCUCUGGCCUCUGUGUCUGAGGCUUAAGCAUGUAAGAACGGUUUGGGUUCAUUCUGAUGGGGGGAAAGAAGCCAUUUGGAUGGUGUGGGUAUGUGUAGAAUGCAAAGCCUUCCUUUUCACCCUUGAAUCUGAACUCUCGUCUUCAAAGAGAGAGUUCGUGACCAGCUGUUUAUAAAGUGCUGGUCAGAGACCACCCACACCAGGAAAGCUGGGCCUUCUGAACCCUUUCUGCCCAAGUGCCCCUUGAAGGAGGAAGUCUGUUUCUAUCCUUGUCCUACUUGUCCUCUGAGGGCUUGAACUCACUCAGGGGCUCCACUGGCUCCUCCUGGGCCUCAGCGGGAGGCUUCUCUGAGGCAGGGGCCGGCGCCACCACUGCCGCCACAGCCGGAGCCUCGGGCUUGACCUGGAGGGUGCUGGGCGGUUCCCCGGCGUCGCUGCGCAUCUUGACACAGCGCAAGUCUAUGGGUUCAUCCAGGUCUGAGUCUAAAAGGAUGACCUCAGGCUGCGGCAGAGAGGCCGCGGUGGGGGAUACGUUGGCAGGGUGCUCGGAGACCGGGCUGCCCCCCAGGCAGGUCGGCGUGCUGAUGCUGCGGGCGGUCAACCGCUUCUUACAGGGCUCACGCUCCCCAUGGGUCUCGGAGAGGCAGCGCUUGCGCGCAUGGGAGAGGUUCAGGCCCACCGUAUGGUGGUGGUGGUGAUGGUGGUGGUGGUGGUGGUGGUGGGCGGGCGGGUGUGAGCUCCUGGCUGGGUCCCAGGCCAGCAGGUCUGGCUUGGUGGUGAGCUGUAGCGGUUGCUCACCAAAGGCCUCCUUGGUCGGGGAGAGCUUUCGAGACCCUAGGUCUUGGGGCUGAGCGUCCCCCGACACCAGAGCCUCCUCCUCCCUGCGUUUGCAGGGCACUUCGGCUUUCUUCUCCUCAGAGGCACCGGCUGCUUUUUUAAAAGUCCUGUCGCCCUGGGGAUGGCGCUCCUCGGCAGCACGUUUCUUGUGGCUGGGGGAGCGCGCCUCGCCCUCGGCGGCCUCGCCCGACUUGAUUUUCACUGCCUGCAUGCCGUUCUCCAUGUACUUGCUCAUAACGAUCACGAUGCGCCCAUUCUUGUUCUUGUUCUUGACGAUUUUCAUCUUGCCCCCAAUACCAUUACCGGUCACUGCCUCCUUAGGGGCUGGUGUCAUGCCAUUGGGGGGGC